rnacentral:pre_miRNA from 1 species
UUAUUACUCACUCCGAUCCCUAUUACUUGGUUUAGAUUUGUCUAACUAUGGAUGUAUCUAGACACCUUUUAGUGUUAUAUACAUCCGUAUAUAGAGAAAUCUAAGAUGAGUAAUAUGGAUCAGAGGGAGUACCAU